AGAGAAUUUUGGCAGGUGCAACUGAUUCAAAUUGUACUGGAUGAAACUUCAUUUUCUAUACCUCUAUGAAAGGUACAGGGGCCAUGUACUCUUCUGCAUCUAGAAUAUAUUCGAGGAACAAUUGGCACCACAUGGCAGGAAGAGUCAUUGAUCACUGCUCCAUUUUUAAGACUUGUUGCAAGAAAGCAUGUUCUUCAUAAAACAAGGAUUUGUAUCCAUGCAUUGUACCAUACAACAGUGUUAUAUAGAAUACUGCCCACCUCCUCCAGGACCAGAUCAAAGGCUGGGGAGAGCUGCACACUGGCCUUUUCAAGUGAUGAUUGUAUUGAUGCAUGACCCAGCUGCGCUUCAGCUUCAGCUGACGGACAGAUGGCCUGACAUUCGCAUGUAGAAUUCUCUGAGACAAAGCAGAAUUCAUGGUUCCUUCAAUGAUGACAAGUUGUCCAGAUCCUGAUGUAGCAAAGCAUCCCCAAACCGUGACUCAGCCACCACCAUGCUUGACCGUUGAUAUGAGGUUCUUCAUGUGGAAUGCAGUGUUUGGUUUUCGCCAGACAACCAAGAUAUUCAAACUUCUGGCCCUAAUAAUCCCUUUCAUUGGGUUGAGUUAAUAGGGGACAGUUACUUUUUCACACAGGGGCAUUGGGUGUUGCCUAACUUUCUU